rnacentral:rRNA from 1 species
GACGAACGCUGGCGGCGUGCUUAACACAUGCAAGUCGAACGGAUAGGCUCUGCUUUUGUGGGGUGCUCGAGUGGCGAACGGGUGAGUAACACGUGAGUAAACUGCCCUUGACUUUGGGAUAACUUCAGGAAACUGGGGCUAAUACCGGAUAGGAGCUCCCGCUGCAUGGUGGGGGUUGGAUAGUUUCGGCGGAUGGGGAUGGACUCGCGGCUUAUCAACUUGUUGGUGGGGUAGUGGCUUACCAAGGCUUUGAGGGGUAGCCGGCCUGCGAGGGUGACCGGCCACGUUGGGUACGGGAUGCGGCCGAGGCGCAUACUGGAGGAAGGAGGGGAGAAUAUCGCACAAAGGGCGGGAGCCUGAUGCAGCAACGCGGCGUGCGGGAUGACGGCCUUCGGGAUGAAAACGGCUUACGCUUGUAACGAAGCGUGAGUGAGGGUAAUGGGGAGAGAAGCACCGGCUAACUACGU